CCUACGGGCGGCAGCAGUGAGGAAUAUUGGUCAAUGGGCGGGAGCCUGAACCAGCCAAGCCGCGUGAAGGAUGACGGCCCUAUGGGUUGUAAACUUCUUUUAUCCGGGAACAAAACCCGGUACGUGUACCGCACUGCGUGUAUCCGAAGAAAAAGCAUCGGCUAACUCCGUGCCAGCAGCCGCGGUAAUACGGAGGAUGCGGGCGUUAUCCGGAUUUAUUGGGUUUAAAGGGUGCGUAGGCGGUAUGUCAAGUCAGCGGGAAAAUCGCGGGGCUCAACCCCGUCCAGCCGUGGAAACUGGCGAUCUUGAGUGGGCGGGAAGUAGGCGGAAUGCGGGGUGUAGCGGUGAAAUGCUUAGAUAUCACGAAGAACUCCGAUUGCGAAGGCAGCAUGCUGGCG
rnacentral:rRNA from 1 species